GAUAAUUCUAAGAUAAUUUACUGAGCAUGUAUGAACGGGAACAUAAGAACAUAAAUAAGUCUGAAACGUGAUACACGAACUGAUUAUCGUGAACUAAACUGAGCCUUUGAGUACAUAGCUUACGAAAAAAAUUGGAAUGUUUAGAUCAUGAUAGCUCGAGGGUUAUAGUGCAUCUCUUUCUUGGGACACUAUGUCCCUCGAGAAUGCUGACUUGGCU
rnacentral:lncRNA from 1 species